rnacentral:rRNA from 1 species
UACGAAGGGGACUAGCGUUGUUCGGAAUCACUGGGCGUAAAGCGCACGUAGGCGGAUGUGUCAGUCAGGGGUGAAAUCCCGGGGCUCAACCUCGGAACUGCCUUUGAUACAGCACGUCUCGAGUCCGGAAGAGGGUAGUGGAAUUCCCAGUGUAGCGGUGAAAUGCGUAGAUAUUGGGAGGAACACCGGUGGCGAAGGCGGCUACCUGGACCGGUACUGACGCUGAGGCGCGAAAGCGUGGGGAGCGAACAGG